CCAAGGAUUACUAUACUGGCUGGGAGAGUGCGAUGUUGGCACGGUUCAAUCAAAUCGGGUGGUCUCUGCAUGCACUGGCUUGCGAGCAAGCUGCGAUGAUGUUUCGCUCCAUCUGAUUGAGCCGUGCCAAUAUCGCAAGCUUCUUUGCCUAGCAACCUGUACCG